ensembl:lncRNA
AAGGAAUUGGGAGAAGAAAAGAGAGGACCCAGCUCCAUCCUUGCAUUGCCAGUCAUCUUAGGAAAGUUAGAAAUAUUCCAUGUGUGAAGGAAGGAUUCAGCCUUGCAGUUUGAUUUCCCUUCUCUCAAAAGAAAAAAAAAAUAAAACUCUUUAAGAAAAAAACCACCAUUAUCACAGCACAGCAGUGACUUAAAGAGGAUCGCUCCAAUACCAGAUGUUACUAGACUUGAGAGUGAGUAGCAGGAGAGCAGAAUGCAGAAAAUGAAGUGGAGAAGAGAGGUGGACCCAAAGAAGAGUUGUUUCUGAAAAUGCUGCAUAAGUAGAAAAGUAAAGAUAAAUUUCAAAAUCACCUAUGCAAAUAUCAGUUGAAAAAGAAAUUGUUAAAGUGAUCCCUGUAAACCACCUGAAGUGCUGAGAGAACCGAGCCAAGAAAAUGAAACACUACUGAAUGCUCUACAGCAAAACCAGGCCAGCAUACCAGGGAAAAGGCACAGACAAGAUCCCUCCAGAGCACAAAAAGAAGAAAAAGUGGAGUGGUAGACAUCGUUUAACUUCAGUUGGCACUGGAAGUAUCGCCUUUUACAGGAUGUCCACAGCACCACUGCCAAAUAUGAUCCAAAAGAUCACUGUGGGAUUCCUGGCAUCCUUGCCUCUGUUACACCUUUGAGUACAAGUGAGCAUGGGUUAUCACUGCCAACAAAUUCAUAUGACCAGUUCUGUGUGCUAGGUUACCUCAUGUGUGAUCUUGACAAAUUCUGGGCCCUUCUCUAUGCUGUAGUGUGGGAGCCAGGACAAUGUAAGAACAAUGGCAAUUGGCUCAAGUUCUCACCUGAAAGACCUCACUGGGCUUACUUCACUAGUUUCACUCUUCUCUGUAAUCAAGUUGAUGAAAAGCAACUUAAUGGAAUCAUUUGAUUUUGCUAUGAAGUGCUUGGACUAGCAUAUAAAAUUUCUUGCCAUCUAAUUUUUGUAAAGCUGUUAAAAACUGUAAUGAAGAUAAACAAUAGAAAACAACAACUAUAAAAAUACUCUUCAGAGUUAUGAUUAAUUUCUACCUUAUUUAGGUCUUGCAUUCUGACUAGACAUAACUCAAUGUUUGUCUCAGACAAUGCAUGUGAGCUAAGAAGUGGAGCUGUUUGUGUUUUGGUGGUUCAUUCGUUUAUUCUUCCAGACUGUGGAGAGCUGGUGUUGUCACAGCAAGGCAGCCAUAACAGUCCCAGAGUUGGGGCUCUGAGGAGAAGGCAGGACUGAUGGCACCUGCCCAGGGGUCCUUUGGGAAAUUGUGGCAGCUUGGCAGCUCCUUCCUUCAGCAGUCUGGAAGAGCACUUAGCCAGAGUCCCUGAGGGCUGUAGGAUGGGUAGGUGGAAAAGGGUUCAAGCGGAAUAGAGACAGGCAGUUAGGUCUGUCUGCAAAAGGAAUUGCUGGUCUGAUUUAUGUGUCUGCCUUCUCUAGAAUUAUUACACUAGAAAACCAGAUACAUUAGCUCUAGGUAAAAUUUUCUGACUCUCAGUCUUAUAGUCUAGGCUAAAAGAAAUACUAGUCACAUGCUAUUAUUUAUCCAUUAAUCUUUCUUUGGGCUUCAGUGUCAUCCACAUAGAGUUUACUUUUUCCUCAUCUUUAUUGAUGAACUACAUAGAUAUUUCCCCUACUAUAUUAAAUCCUACACUUAUCCUAGAUAGAUUUCAUUUUCUUGCUGCCUUCAGGCUUGCAUCAGACAACACAGCAAAUGAUGUUAAAUAAAUAUGAUUGAUUGGUACCGAUCA